UUAAGAAGAGGCGCGUUGAUUAUGAGUAUGAUAUCGGAGAUCGAAAGUCUGUGAAGAUAUCAGAAAGGAUGAUACGCCGAAGCAGAUAGGUCAAAGUAUCUGCUGGGGGUAUGUUGAAGAAGCAUGCCACUGUCUUUAUGUUAAAACAUAAAGGAGCGCUAUCUU
rnacentral:ncRNA from 1 species